GCAGGAGCGCGGUGGACAUGUGAGGACGCUGAGAGGAACUGGAACGCCGCCAGGCCGCUUUACAAGGAAUAGACGUUCCUUGGAGCAGGGCAUCAUCAUUGUGAGACUUUGCGUUCGUCUAAUCAAAUGGGCUCUAAAUUUAGCAGACGACGGAGGAGGAGGAGGAAAAGAUUAGAAAACUGUCAAUCUGUUGCUGUUUAUUACUAAGUUGGAUUCGGCCGAGAUUCUGGAAGAUCACGCACACACUUACUGAAACGUAAAGGCUCUCGUUCACCCUGUUGGCCGGCGAAUCAGAGAAAAGGUCACGUCCCUUCAGAGGUAACAGGCCAUCUGCAUGAAGCGGACACGGAGCACGGAGAUCAAGUGGCCUGUUCCAAGUGCGUGCCAACGCGUUACCAUUCAGAAAAAGAGUGUGAAGAGUGGA